AUUGAACGCUGGCGGCAUGCCUUACACAUGCAAGUCGAACGGCAGCACGGGAGCAAUCCUGGUGGCGAGUGGCGAACGGGUGAGUAAUAUAUCGGAACGUGCCCAGUCGUGGGGAUAACGUAGCGAAAGCUACGCUAAUACCGCAUACGAUCUAUGGAUGAAAGCGGGGGAUCGCAAGACCUCGCGCGAUUGGAGCGGCCGAUAUCAGAUUAGGUAGUUGGUGAGGUAAGGCUCACCAAGCCGACGAUCUGUAGCUGGUCUGAGAGGACGACCAGCCACACUGGGACUGAGACACGGCCCAGACCUCCUACGGGAGGCAGCAGUGGGGAAUUUUGGACAAUGGGCGCAAGCCUGAUCCAGCAAUGCCGCGUGCAGGAUGAA
rnacentral:rRNA from 1 species